GGGGUGUAUAGCUCAGUAGUAGAGAAUUCGUCUGCAGAUCGAGAGAUCUCCGGUUCAAACCCGGGUACCCUCU